GACAACGAUGAUCCAUUGAGUGAUUAUGACCAACUCUAACAUGAAUUAUUUGGAAAUUGAGUUAAUUUUCAUUAUGUUUUUCUUAUAAGUUUUCAAUUGUUAUUUGCUAGUGUUUUGAAUGUUAUGGUUUUUUGAAUUGUCUUGAAUUAGUUAAUGAAUAUUAUCCAAUGAGAUUUCAGUUUUUUAAAGUAAUUUUAGUGUUAUUUGAAUUUUAUUUUUAUAUUAUAUAGUGGCAUAUGCAUAUUAUUAAUCUAUAUGCA
rnacentral:lncRNA from 1 species